UGAAUGAACAUCAUUGAGUGCAGCGUUGAUAUAAUUUACUUCUUUUGUUCCAAUACUUGAAUGGAUUAAAGAAAUUUAUAUAUCAUUGUUGCGUUCAAUUAUGUUUUUU
rnacentral:pre_miRNA from 1 species